rnacentral:rRNA from 1 species
GGAGGAAAGUAGGGGAUCGAAAGACCUUGCGCUUUUGGAGCGGCCGAUGUCUGAUUAGCUAGUUGGUGGGGUAAGGGCCUACCAAGGCGACGAUCAGUAGUUGGUCUGAGAGGACGACCAGCCACACUGGGACUGAGACACGGCCCAGACUCCUACGGGAGGCAGCAGUGGGGAAUUUUGGACAAUGGGCGCAAGCCUGAUCCAGCAAUGCCGCGUGAGUGAAGAAGGCCUUCGGGUUGUAAAGCUCUUUCAGUCGAGAAGAAAAGGCUGCAGUGAAUAACUGUAGUUUAUGACGGUAUCGACAGAAGAAGCACCGGCUAACUACGUGCCAGCAGCCGCGGUAAUACGUAGGGUGCGAGCGUUAAUCGGAAUUACUGGGCGUAAAGGGUGCGCAGGCGGUUUUGUAAGUCAGAUGUGAAAUCCCCGGGCUUAGCCUGGGAAUUGCGUUUGAAACUACAAAGCUAG